AUCUAAUGGCUCCCAUCCAGCUGAGGUGUUACAUUCCUCAAAAACAUUAUUGAGGUUAUACAUCAAAUGUACUCUCAAACACAAAAACUCAAACCCUAAACACAGCCGCCUCCUUUAAUCUUUUUUUUUUUCUUGGUUGCUUCUCUGUUCUGUUCUCCUUAUAUAUCUUCUUCCUUUCUUCAUUCACGAAAUGUGAUAGCUUCUCUGUUCUUUGCUCAUUGAAAAAACCCCAUUUCUAGAAUUGAUUCAUCGACGACGACGACGACGACGACGACGAAGAGCUUCGUGUCUACGACCUGAGACGGCGACAAGCCCUGCAUACUUGACAUGUAAUAUAGACACAAGCUUUCUACUCUCUGUACAGCCAUAAAUAUCUGAUUCAAAGCUAAGGUUUUGAUAGCUGAGGAACCAGGCAUCAGGGUGCCCCUGUUUUUCAGCCCUAAACAUCAAUUCUUAGGGCUUCAUAGUCCGGGUUAGGUGCUUUCAGUGCUGCUAUGGAUUCAGAAUCAUGGGCUAGUCCAAAGGAAGAUUAAAGAUGGGCUCACAUUCACAAAGUCAAGUUCAGCAUGCCAUCUUGCUACACUAUUUUAUGAAGAUAUUUUUUAUAUAAUUUUAUUAAUUUUGUUUAAUGUAAUUAAAUAACAUAAUAUAAAAUUAAUGUAAACAAAAUGCAAUGUAUUAUUUUUUUAAUUGUAACAAAUAUAAUGUAAUUAUUGUUUUUAAUA